rnacentral:rRNA from 1 species
UACGGGGGGGGCAAGCGUUGCUCGGAAUUACUGGGCGUAAAGGGCUCGUAGGCGGCCAACUAAGUCAGACGUGAAAUCCCUCGGCUUAACCGGGGAACUGCGUCUGAUACUGGAUGGCUUGAAUCCGGGAGAGGGAUGCGGAAUUCCAGGUGUAGCGGUGAAAUGCGUAGAUAUCCUAAGGAACACCGGUGGCGAAGGCGGCAUCCUGGACCGGCAUUGACGCUGAAUAGCGAAAGCCAGGGGAGCAAACGGG